UUUUUCAUUCUUACUCUAGGGAUCAACUGGUCUAGAUGGUUCUAAAGGAGAUCCUGGAGUUCCUGGUGAAGAAGGUCCAGCUGGUCCUCCAGGAGUACCUGGUAUAACUGGUUCGCCCGGCCAAAGAGGCCGACCUGGAAGAGAUGGAGAAAGAGGUAUAUCAGGUCCACCUGGUGACAAGGGACUUUCAGGAUUUCCGGGACUACCUGGACUGCCUGGUCAGAAGGGAGAUAGAGGUUUAGGUGGUCCACAAGGACCUAUUGGCUUAACUGGACAUGAAGGCCAACAAGGUGAGCAAGGAGUACAGGGAUCUUUAGGUGCCCCUGGUGAAAUGGGACCAAGAGGUUUCAUGGGACCACGUGGCCCUCCAGGACCUGUUGGUCAACCUGGUUUACCUGGUGCUGAAGGUCCUGUUGGACCCAAAGGAAAUCAAGUAA